GCAAACUUGGUCAUUUAGAGGAAGUAAAAGUCGUAACAAGGUUUCCGUAGGUGAACCUGCGGAAGGAUCAUCAAAGAAGAUAUAGGGGGUAUAUCCCCCUAUAACCACUCAUGUGUGCAUUGUAUAGGUGUGUGGUGAUAUUGUAUCGCGCGCACGCCUCAUCUAUAAACUACUUGAUCUUAAUGUAUGAUAUCAUAAUUAUUAACAUAACACAACUUUUAACAAUGGAUCUCUUGGCUCUCGCAUCGAUGAAGAACGCAGC
rnacentral:misc_RNA from 1 species